AGUGAACGCUGGCGGUAGGCCUAACACAUGCAAGUCGAACGGCAGCACAGUAAGAGCUUGCUCUUACGGGUGGCGAGUGGCGGACGGGUGAGGAAUACAUCGGAAUCUACUUUUUCGUGGGGGAUAACGUAGGGAAACUUACGCUAAUACCGCAUACGACCUACGGGUGAAAGCAGGGGAUCUUCGGACCUUGCGCGAUUGAAUGAGCCGAUGUCGGAUUAGCUAGUUGGCGGGGUAAAGGCCCACCAAGGCGACGAUCCGUAGCUGGUCUGAGAGGAUGAUCGGCGACACUGGAACUGAGACACGGUCCAGACUCCUACGGGAGGCAGCAGUGGGGAAUAUUGGACAAUGGGCGCAAGCCUGAUCCAGCCAUACCGCGUGGGUGAAGAAGGCCUUCGGGUUGUAAAGCCCUUUUGUUGGGAAAGAAAAGCAGCAGGUUAAUACCCCGCUGUUCUGACGGUACCCAAAGAAUAAGCACCGGCUAACUUCGUG
rnacentral:rRNA from 1 species